ensembl:lncRNA
CUUAAGUAAAAUGGGGUUAAUAUCAAUAUACUGGAUGACCCGAAGGGGAAAUCAUGAUGCUAUAUACACAGACUCCUUCUGAGAAAAGUAGUACAACCGGUCUUUUCCCAAUGUGGCUGCCACGGCUUGUGCAGCAUGCUUUGCUGGUGGUCCAAUUUUACUCGCUUGGAGGCAGAAGACAGGAUGAGGUCUGGGACACAAGCUGGAAGCAACCACACAAUGGAGGUCUUGGCUGGGCCAGAGCUGAAGUUAGAUUUGUCUGGCAUGAGGAGUAUGGGUCACUCCUCUCCCCAGGCAUAUGGUCCUCUCAGGAGCUGUUUCUGCUGAAGAAUCUCUUGGGAAAGAAGCCUUGAGCAGCAUUCCCAUUUUGGAUUCAGAAAUUGAUAAGUAAGUCUGAGAGCCUUCCAGGCUAUAGAAGGGGAGGCUGGGGUCCCUGAGACAGCAUUUAACAUCAAUGAAGGAGGCCCUAAACUCAACCAUGGGGAGGGGAGGUGUCCCAGUGAGCAAGGCUGCAUUUGCGAGGUGGGAAGGACUUGAUCAGUGAUCUUUAUGGUUGACUCUUUAGCUUCCCUUCAAGCCGACUGCAGUCAUCCCAUUGCCCUUGCCAGAGACUGGUUUAAGAAUAGGCAUACGUGAAAUUCCGGCCAAGGAGACAUAAAGGGAAUUCUACAGGGCACUUUGGGGAAGUUUCCAUGCUUCUAAGAAGCAGACACGGGAAGAGCGUCCUUUUCUUCCUUUGGAUGUUAUUGCAUCUAGUGAAGGCGCCUUGUUACCACAAAGGGAGCCAACUGGGAGACAAAGCCAAUAUCUUGAGGACAGCAAAGCAGAGACAUAAAGACAAGCUGGGUCCUUGACACCUUGAGCCGCUCAUUGUACAACACCUGGAACCCACUACUUCUGGAAUUCCCAUUAGUGAGAUAAUUUAUUUCCUUACAUAUUUGAAUCUGGGUUUUCUGUUACUUGUGGCUAAAGCAUCCUAACCAACAGAGCAUGGGCCUGGAAUUCCUACAUUACCUGGUGGGAGCUUACAGCUAAUAAAAUAUCGGUAUUAAGAUGAUGUAACUGGUAUCUUCACAGGCUGGUAACACCAGGACAAUGGGGCCAUUCAUGCUUCUAUACAUGCCAGGUGUGACUCUUACUUGACAACCCGGCUGAGCUAGGAAUAUUGUAUCCUCUGCUUUUUUCCCUUUAAUUAAAGGAAAUCUGACUCUGAGUCCCUAAUCCUGUUCAGUGGGCAGAUAAUCUGUCAUUCUGGGAGCUCAACCUUCUGAAAGAUUGUGCCUAACUGGCCAAAAGUAUAGAGGCGUCCCACCCACUCAUCAGCCAACAGCCCACACUGAGUUUUCCUCUGAUGCUUCAGGUCUCUUCCAGUUUGGUUGAUUUUGCUGUUUCUGAGUCAUACUUGGGGCCCAGGAAUCUUGGUGAGGCUGGAAACCCAAUGCCUAAGCCCUAAUGUCCUCUGAGAUCUGACCCUUACCCAGGACCCUGCAAUGCCUUCUGUUCAGGUCCAAGGAAACAUCAGGCCCAAAAUGGAGUCACUCGUGCUAAGCCCCACAUCAGCAAACCAAGACUUAAUUGCAGUUUCAGCCUCUCCCAGGAGUGGAAUUUUAAACCAAUCAGUCUGGAAUGUCCUGGUCCACACUAGUAAUCUGCCUGAUAAGACCCCUGCCUUCCCCUAAGGGAAGGUGACCUUGUCUGAAACAAUCUACUCUUUGUUUUUAUAACUUCCUCUGUUCGGCCCCCUUCUGCCAAUAAAAACUUUCCAUUCUGUACAGCUCCUGGAGCUCCCUUCUCUUUGCUAGACGGGAUACUGCCCAAUUUGUGAAUCGUUUAAUAGAGCCAAUUAGACCUUCAAAUUUACUCAGUUGAUUUGUUUUUUAACAGUUCUCAUAAUCAGCGCUGUUUUCUGUCUUUUCUGUCUUCCUGGUCUCUGAGCACUCUCCUUUCUCUUUCCUGGCCCUUCAAAGCCCUCCUCCACCUUUUUCCUCAGGGCAUCUGCAUCAGCUCCUUCAUGAGCCAGACUUUUACCACAGACAGGAAGAUCUGUGAGCUUCAAGCUGCUUCUGCUUUCUGUCCUGCAAGAAUUCCUAAGGCAAGAAAAACAAAAAGCCUGACUGACAGUGCCUGCUUGGAAAGAGAAGGCAAUGGAAAAAUACAGCGAAUGAAUUAAUCCCCAAAUUAUCUUGUCACAGGUACCUCACAGGUGACAGGAGAGAACUCAGGCCAAUAGGAAGGCUGGCUUCAUGCUGAGUGGCAGCCAGACAACCAAUGAGAGUGAGGCAAAGAGAAGGAAGUAGGAAACGGAAUUUUUUACCCUUCAGACGCAGAACAGUAAAGUGACUGACCUGGUCCACUGCCUGAUAUGAAGGAGCUGACACUAUGGCCCCCACAGGAGGAGAGAGACUCCUGCAGACACUGGCUGGGGGCUUCCCUGGGCCCCGAGCCUCAGAGACCCUCUCCUUGCUCCUCUCAGAUAGGUGGUCCUCCCCAGAGCUGCCCGCACUUGCCGCUUUGCCUGGAGAGGCAGUGGACUCCCAACCACACCUUAUACGUGCUUUUCUCCAUAAUAGAAACCCCCCCUGAUACCAGGAUGACUGGGUGCUUUUCUGAGCCCAUCUUCCCAACCGACGUGAGGCCAAGUUGAAAACCUUACCCUCACAGACAGGAUUUUAAACUUGCUCUCGACUGUUGGUUGAGGAAAUCUGCUUAACGUCUUAUGAAACAGACAAAACAAAACAGCCAUUUUAUUUUUUAUCUAGCAAAGGCAGAACUGGAUGUCAGUGCCUGCUGGAGGGCAGGUGGACGUGGCGGUGGUCGGGGGUGUGGUUGAUAGGGAAGAGCAGAAGGGUGGCAAAGUGGGGAGAGAAGAGGAUAUGGGAGCGAAAAGAUAAAAGGAAACAUUUAAAAGAAUCACUUUUAGGGGUAAGAAAAUUUAGCUACAGGUGUCAAGGAGCAUACAAUUUCCUGAGACUUUAUCAAGUCUUACCAAUUGCUUCCUUCUAGCAAAACCUGAUCUCCUGUGUUAUCGGUUAGCUUUAUAAGUCAACCCAGUUACCCAGUGCCCUGUGAGCCCAUGAACGUGUUGCACAAACAUAUCUUUGUGGUAACACCACAAUGAAGAACUCUGUCAUAAAUGUUAUAUUAGUCUGUAGGGCUGCCAUCACAAAAUAUCACAAGCUGGGGGACUUAACAGAAAUUUAUUUUCUCACAGUUCUGGAGGCUGGAAGUCCAAGAUGAAGGCAUGGGCAGGUUUGGUUUCUUCUGAGGCCUCUCUCCUUGUCUUGCAGGUGACCGCCUUCUCCCUGUGUGCUCACGGGGUCUUUCCUGUGAGUGCACAUGUCUGGUGUCUGUGUGUUCAAAUGUCCUUUUCUUACAAGGACACCGGUCAGACUGAAUGAGGGCCCAUCCUAAUGGCCUCAUUUUAACUUAAUCACCUCUUUAAACACAUCUCCAGGGGCCAGCCCGGUGGCACAGCGAUUAAGUUCGCAUGUUCUACUUCGGCGGCCCGGGGUUCACCGGUUCAGAUCCUGGGUGCAGACAUGGCACUGCUUGGCAAGCCAUGCUGUAGCAGGCGUCCCAUGUAUAGAGUAGAGGAAGAUGGGCAUGGAUCUUAGCUCAGGGCCAGUCUUCCUUAGCAAAAAGAAGAGGAUUGGCAGUAGAUGUUAGCUCAGGGCUAAUCUUCCUCAAAAAAAAAAAAAAUCUCCAAAUAUCGUUACAUUUUGAGGUCACUCAGAUGUCUGAGAAAAUUCAUACAUUGAAGUUAGGACUUCUACAUAUGACUUUUGGGGGAUACAAUUCAGCACAUAAAUAUUUAGGGACCAUUUAUCCUACACUACAUGAAUAGGACCUUGGCCACAUACUGGGAUAUUAACAGGGCCCCGUCAUUGAUCCUGAGAGGUUUUAUCAUGUGCACAAACUGACUGCCAUGCCUCAGGCUGAGAGCUCAUCAUGUGAUGUGCCUUUAACAACCUCACAUUGGCUUAAAGAAUUUUGAAUUUUGAAUUUUUAUCUCUUCUUCAAUUUGCCUUUUUCUUCUGUUUUUCCAAGAAUUUAUUUUCACAGUUGGGACAUCCUUAAAGGAUUUUCAAUGUGAGUGGAGCUACUGAUGACAUGCAGGCUGAGCAUGGCUGAAAGUAGGAGAGGAGAGAUCAUCGGUCAAGGGAGAGCAGGCAGGCGAAUGUCAAACUGUCCCCAUCUAGACCGUGGACUGAGUCCUUCCUCUUGGGCUGCGUCACCGUCCUUCCUUCUUUCCUGAAUCCAGUAGUGCUUGUCAGGCAUCUGAAAUGGCUGGGCAACUGCAAAUACGCAGGUGACUGAUGUUAUCAAGUCCCUGCCUUUAUGAGUUUAUAGUUCAACUGUGUUAACUAUUAAAGAAAACGACUGAAAUAAACACAAUCCUGCCUUACCAGCAGAGAGGAUCCUAAAGGGAUCAUGACCAGCAAGUCUCUUGUCUUCCUUCCUGUCUUCCCAUACACACACAUUCAAAUGAAUCCGAAAUACAAGUUUUAGGUGUCCAUCUAAUGACACCUGCCCCAACCACUUGAUGUUAAGAACCGAGGUGUGUUCUCCACAGCCCCAAGUGUCCUUUGCAUGAAGUGGAUACUCAGUAUAUACUCACUGAUUUGACCUGAAUCUCCAAGAGGAAAGAUAGUUUAACCAAAACCACUACAAUACUCAGAAAUGUCGUCGCUGUCAGAGAGCGGCAGGAGGAGAGGUUUGAUUACUUGAGGAAAAAAAGCCCAGUGGCUGUGGGAAAGUUGUCACCCUCCUUACCUCAAGGACAUCAGGGGUCUGUGCUCUUCUUCAAGUAAUGAGUUGGAGAAAAGGGGCUAGCGGAGAGUUCCACCUGAAUUUCCUGCCACCAUUUCAAGCUGUGGACUUGAAGAGCCUAUGACUUUGGUUAAUUGCCCUGUGGUCUGCUCUCUAUAAAUAGCAGCUUCUUCGUGGGUAACCCAGGGCUGCCUCUGAAAUUGCCAGACUUGGAAAUUACAUCAACCCAGUUCAAUAGGUACUUAUCGUGUAGCUCAAGAGAAGGGUGCUCUCAAACAGCUUAGAUGACAAGUAGGGAAGAACCCAGGAGUCUGGAGAGGUAGCUUAGAAGAAGGUUGGCCUUUGUGUUUUGAAGAUUUCUCUCUAAGAUCUAAGCACUGGACCCCAAAACAAAGGAUAAGUAGAACCCAGGUGCUAGGUGGGAAAAUAUAGGUCUAGAAAAGUGGAAUCCUUCUCAUUCCACACUGGUGAUUGAUUUGGUGAUUAGUCUAAUCCAAAUGUGGACUUGUGUUCCCUGGGCCGGUGACAGUUGUGGGUAGAGGCAUAUGACCCUGUAAGAAAUGAAAAUCGGGUGCAGGAAUGAGGGAAGGGGAGAAGGGGGAAGGUUUCUGGGAGAGGCUAAAACUGAUAAAAUGUUCCUCAAUCAUUGUUAUGUUUCAGAUAACAGAUACCACUUGAACAUUAAGCAGAAAAAGAUUUAAUUUAGGAAAUGAAGGGCUUAAAAAUUCAUGGAUGGGCUAGUAGAGCAGGUCCUAGGCUACGCCUCCAGCAGCAACCAGCGGAACACAGCAGAAAUGUCAGCUGGGGUGGCUGCUACUUGUGUCACAAGCAAGAAGCUGGGGGAAUCAGGAAGCCACCACAGUAAGUGUGGCUCCAGAACUACACCACUUUACCUACGUCCGGGGAUCAGGAAACUACCUCCAGGGCCAGAUCGUACCCACUUGAUCUGCCUGGGCAAAAAUGGAGGCUCUACUUCCUGCUUCUCUGCACUCAGGAAGCCAGUGACAGGGCACUGGGGCUUCUGCUGGUAGUGCAGCAAAAGCUCAGCGCCUGCAUGACCACGUUUGCCAGGAAACAGCAGAUGAAGCAGACCACAGCCUCUUAGAUUUCAAGAGGGUGUGUCCGAUGUGCACUCUUCCACAGGGGAGCAGCUCUGUUAGGACAACACUCCUGCCUCCCUCCGUCCCUUCACACACUCCUUCCCUGGGUGGGGGAGUGACACAUCUGACUGAACUGUUAAGAAAACUGCAAAAGAACUGCAGACUGCUGAAAUCACAGGACCCAAGACAAGGAGAGGAGGCAAAAGAAGCAAACAGAGGAGUUUCUCCAGAGCCGGGCAAGGCUGACCACGGACCACCUCCCCUCCGGCAGCCUGGCCGGAGUUGCCGAUUUCUUUUUGCCAUGUGGCCUGACCCAUCCCCUCACGCCGACUCCCCACGUCUCAGCAGUCCCCCGACCCCUUCCUGGGAUGCUAGUGUUCUCCAGGACCUCAACUCGUAAAGGGACUUCUUCAAGCUUGGGGCUGACCCCCACCUACAGACCCCUACCCCUGGCCUCCGCUCUGGGGUUGCUGGAAAGGAUGCUUUCAGACUGUGCCUCCACCAGCCCCCAGCUCUCAGGCUUAGGGCUGAGAUGAAAAGGGAAGGCUCCUGUUUCUGCGCUGAAAAAGAAAUGUAAAUCUCUCGCAGGCCACGUGCCAGAAGCUGCCAGGAGGCCAUUUCCCUGUUAGUAAACAGGGCUGCCUGGGCCAUCUUUCUCUUCUUUAAUAACCUGUGGGGCACCUAUUGAUUGCACAUGCUGGUCCCUCAUAAAUUAGAACAGAGAUGCCUUCCGGUUGCUCUGGAGCCGCGUGGAUGGAGAAAUUGGCUCACUAAUACUUCAUGCUCACAGAGCACAGCGUAUCGCACCACAUAAACAUGAAGAAUAUGUAUCAUCGGGCGCUGAGAACGCACGGGAAACAACUCUGUCAGCUGUGGAGGCUUCUAGGCACGCUGCAGAUUUUAAUUAGGCAGCUUCUCCCACCCAUACUGGAGGCCGACAGAAAUGCUGAUUGCGUGCCUCCUGCUGCAGAGGCUCUCCUUUCAGAUGGGCGGGAGCACAAGCUCUGGUGGGUAGGAGAUGGGCCUGCUCCCAUCUCUACUCCCUCACCAGGAUGAGAGCCAGCAAGUAGGAAAGGAAUGUUCAUAGGAAAGGAAUGUUCAUCUCUUGAGCUAUGGCGGAGAGAGCACCGAGUGAGAGUCAAAAGAAUCAAAUUAAAACACUUUUUAAACUCAUCCUUCAGCUACUUACAGCUGUGUGAUCUUGGGCAGGCCCCUUCAUCUCUCUGAAUCUCAGCAUCUCAUCUGGACGGUGGAGAAAGUGAUAAUACCUAGGUGGUUGUAAGGUCUGAGGAAAAUAAGGCCUGCCUGGUGCAUCCUGUACGCUACAGUAAUACUUGCUGAAAACUGAAUUCAAAUCCGUUAAAGACAUGACAGUAGGUACAAGUCUGAAACUAUUUCUUUCUCCCACCUCCAAACUCUGGCACCAGGAACUCUCACCACUACCGCUAGCCAACACCUUGCUCUUUAAGCAAGAAGUGAGGCCACAGCUUGAUAAAUUGGAAUGUUACUCUCACCCCUCUGUCUUCCUGUGCCCCUCCUGACUUCGCUUCUGAAUUUAAAAUUCAUUUCAGAGGGAACCUCUCUAAGGUGAAUAGUAAACGCAGAUGAACACACCAGCAUAGCUUACUUAACAUUCUACUGAAAAAGCCUGGCCCCACCUGCCCACAUUUGGCAGAACCUUCAGAGUUUCUCUAACUUUAAGCAGACCCCGGGCAACUGGGUCCACUUAUGCUUUCCUGGAGUAAGUGGCACUUUCCUCACGGUUCCACCAUGGUCCCUUUUGCCAUUGCUAAUUAAAAUAGACCAGAAGGAUAGUGUGUAUCGCCACAUUUUCCUACCCGUUCCCCUGGUCCUGGGAAAGAUAUCUGAUUAUCUGCUGCUCUGGGAUGAAGAGUGUAGUGGGUUGAAUGGUGGCCCCCAAAAGAUAUGUCCGUAUCCCAGAACCUGGGAAUGUGACCUUCCUUGGAAAAAGGGUCUUUGUAGAUGUAAUGAAGUGAAAGAUCUUGAGAUGAGAUCAUCCUGGAUUAUCUGAUUGGGCCCUAAAUCCAACACAAAAUGGGCCUAUAAGACACAAAAGGAGGGUCCGGCCCGGUAGUGCAGCAGUUAAGUUCGCACGUUCUGCUGCAGCGGCCCGGGGUUCACCGGUUCAGAUCCUGGGUAUGGACCUAUGCACCGCUUGGCAAGCCAUGCUGUGGCAGACAUCCCACAUAUAAAGUAGAGGAAGGUGGGCACAGAUGUUAGCUCAGGGCCAGUCUUCCUCAGCAAAAAGAGGAGGAUUGGCAGCAGAUGUUAGCUCAGGGCUAAUCUUCCUCAAAAAAAAAAAAAAAAAAAGACAAAAGGGGAAAAUAGAGAUAGAGGCGAGGUCCGUGUGAAGACUGAAGCUGAGUGAGGCAGCCACAAGCCAAGGGAGUCCAGGGCCUCCAGAAGCUGGAAGAGGCAAGGAAGGACCAUCCACUGGAGCCUGGGGAGGGAGUGUGGCCUGGAAGACACUUUGCUUUCAGACAUCGAGAACUGAGGGAAUACAUUUUGGAGGUUCUAAGCCAGUCAGUUUGUGGUAUUUUGUUACAGCAGCCACAGGAAACUAACACAAGUGUGCUCCCCGAGCACGGAGCCCCGCUCCGGUUCUUCCACACGAGAAGUUUUCUCCUUACAGGAGAGGAUUUGCCUGAGCAGCAGCCUCAGCCAGCCCGGCCAGCAACCAACCCUCAGGGAAUCCAAACAUGCAGAUGGGGCUGUGUCUGAGGCUCUGCAGUGGAGAAAGCAUCCUGGGGUGCUUUCAGCAUCCAUUGGCAGGCAAGGCACAGGAGAAAUGGCCUGAAUUUUGGUAUUAGAGAGACCUUGGUUUAAAACUCAACUUCCCUAUCGGCUCUGUGACUCCAGACAAACUACUUGCCCUCUCUGUGCAUCCAGUUCCUCAACUAUAAAAUGAGGAUAAUAAGACCUACCUUGUAGGUAGGGACAGAUUCAGGAUCGGACGUUUGCAUAACUUUAGGGAUCCUUUUAAAGAAAAAGAAUACAAAGUUUCAAAUCCAAAAUUAGGAGUGUGGCCUUGAAAAGGCCUUGUGCAAGUGAGGGAAGAGGGCAUAAUUUAAGCCACCUCUGUCCACAGGGUGCUUUGAGGAUUGUGGGUAAAGACGUGAAGCCCUAGGCAGGGCCUGGCUCCUAGUGGGUGCUCAGUGAGAGGUGAAGCCGUCUGGAUGAAGAAUCCUACACCCGAGUGCCCACUGAAAGGUGUGUAGAGAUGUUUUUGACACACACAAAAAUGGCUGGUAGGUUACGUUCCAAGGCAGGCUGCCAGUUAUUGUCUUGAUAUCCAUUUUCCCCUCCUUUUCUGCAACAGAAAACAGACUUUUCUGGGGAUGGCCAUGUGCUCAGCUAAAAACUAGCUUCCCGAGCACCUCUUGCAGCUAAGUGUGGCCACGAGACUAAGUUCUGGCCAAAAAAUAUAAACAAAGGGCCGGCCCCGUGGCCGAGGGGUUAGGUUUGCGCACUCCGCUGCAGGCGGCCCAGUGUUUCCUUGGCUCGAAUCCUGGGCGCGGACAUGGCACUGCUCAUCAAACCACGCUGAGGCAGCGUCCCACAUGCCACAACUAGAAGGACCCACAACUAAUAAUACACAACUAUGUACCGGGGGGCUUUGGGGGGAAAAAAGAAAUAAUAAAAAAAUCUUAAAAAAACCCACAAGAAUAUAAAUAAAGAGGUGUCAGAGACUUCUACAGGGUCCCUCCAAAAUUCACAUGUUGAUGUCCCAAACCCAGUAUCUCAGAAUAUAAUCUCAUUUGGAAAUAGGGUCCUUUCAAAGGUAGUUAGUUAAGAUAAGGUCAUUAGGGUGGGCCUUAAUCCAGCAUGAAUGGUGUCUGUAAUAAAAAGGGGAAGUCUGGACACAAACACACACACACAGAGAAGAUCAAGGCAGAGAGUGCGGUGGGUGAUGUUUGUACAAGCUAAAGGACAUCAGAGAUGGCCAGCACAUUACCAGAAGCAAGGGGAGAGGCAGGAACAGUCCUCAGAAGGAACCAACCCUGCUGACAACUUGAUUUCAGGUUUGUAGCCUGAAAAAUCAAGAUAAUAAAUAAAUUUCUUUUGUGUAAGCCAUGCACUUUGUGGUACUUGAUCACAGCAGCCCUAGCAAACGAAUGCAGAGACAUGAGCUCUUCUUUACCACUCUUCCAUUCUAGCUAGGUCCAGCUAGGAACCUGGGACCCUAAAACCCACACUAGCCCUGGACUGCCUACCUUUGGGCUUAUUUUCCUGAAAAAUAAGUAAACUUGAAGUUUUCUGGUUGUUAUUAUUUUGUUUGUUUUUUGAAACAUGUUACUGAACAUAAUCCUGAUACAGAGUUUUGAUAAAUUAGUUAUUCUCUGGAGAGAGGACUAGGAUUGGGGCAUCCGUGGUAGAUGAAUUUUAGCUUUAUCUAUUAUGUUUCAAUUUUGAUAUCAAGAAUGCAUUCUUGGGGCUGGCCCCGUGGCUGAGUGGUUAAGUUCACCCGCUCCGCUACAGGCAGCCCAAUGUUUCGUUGGUUCGAAUCCUGGGCACGGACAUGGCACUGCUCAUCAAACCACGCUGAGGCAGCGUCCCACAUGCCACAACUAGAAGGACCCACAACGAAGAAUAUACAACUAUGUACCAGGGGACUUUGGGGAGAAAAAGGAAAAAAAAAGUCUUAAAAAAAAAAAAAGAAUGCAUUCUUUUGCAAUUAAAAAUAAAUAUUUUAUGGGGCUGGCCCCGUGGCCGAGUGGUUAAGUUCACCUGCUCUGCUUUGGUGGCCCGGGGUUUGCAGGUUUGGAUCCUGGGUGCGGACAUGGCAUGGCUCAUCAAGCCAUGCUGUGGUAGCAUCCCACAUAGAAGAACUAGAAUGACCUAAGACUAGGAUAUUCAGCUAUGUACUGAGGCCUUGGGGAGAAAAAAAGAAGAGGAAGAUUGGCAACAGAUGGUAGCUCAGGGCCAAUCUUAAAAAAAAAAAGUUGCAGUCUAUUUGGACUUCUUUCUAUCAAUAUGGUGGACUCAAUACUCUAACGUAUUUUCUCACCAUAAAAUCUGAAUAUACUGGAUAAAAUAUUAUAAAUAUUUACCUUCCUUGGUCCAAGAUCUGUCUCACCUCUCCUACAUGAUCAUUAAAGUCCAAGGCUUUAAUUCCACAUCUGCCUGCGGGACGCUCCCACAUCACUAACUCAGCUCCAC